AGAAUUCAUUUGGUUCAUUUUGCUUAUAGUAAUUGAUAAUAACAACGUAGAGAUAUCUGUAGAAAGAGUUUGAAAAAUUUCGGUAUCAAGUUAAAAAAUUGAAAUGUACCCUAGCAAGAGUAUAAACACUCUCGCUCUACUGUCACUUGACAGGUGGAGCUUAAAUGAAAGUAUAUCUUUACUAUCCAUGUCUCCAUAAACAGAUUUUUAAGAUUCGUUCAAUGACACGUACAAAAACGAGACAUAUUUUCUGCUCAAAUAAAGAUUAUCUAGCGCGUGGCAAUGAUGUUUAUUGCCAUGGUUACCAAACAAAGAUAAGAGUACAAUAGAUCCCUGUAUAACACAGGGGAUAUAUUCGGUGUUUUAUGAGCCACUCAUAGGUUGUUCACUACUGCGGACAAAUCAGGCGUGCUUCGUCACGACGGAUUUCUCUGAUAUUUGCUUAGUUUACUUUUUUCCACUAUAUUUAUUCUAGCGACCUUCUAUGAUUGCAUCUUAUCACGCUACCAUAUAUAUCGUGUUAUAUAAAUACUACCGUAAUUCUUGCACUAUAUUGUACGAAUUCGUCUAAAAUCUAGGGUAUAACACUCAGUAUAACACGUAAAACCACAUAUCACGUUACAGAAGACAUUCACUGGUUCACGAUCAUUCGCAUUUGAUGAUCAAACAUUACUCAUUUGAUAAAAGAAACGUAAAAGUUAGUAAACCAAUUCCACAAUUUGAUCGACGAACGAGCUUUCUUAAGCAAUUCGCGUUUGAAUAUUUUCAUAUAUUUUUUGCUUAAUGUGUUUAAUCAUGUAAAAAGAAUAAAAUCGAAAAAUAAUUUUCAAUUCAUCCUUAUUUUACUUGUUUAGCUACAAAGAUUUUUAAUUAAAUUCUGCGAUUUUCUUUGCUCUCGGUUUUUAGCUCCAAUUCUUUUCGUAUUUCUAUUUAAAUUCUCGUUCUAAUUAAAAAACGAAUAAAAUACUUGGAAGAAAAAAUAAACGUGGAAAUUGAUUAAAAGGGGAUAUUAAUUAAAACUGAUAAUACAUGAAAGAGAAAGAUUUGAUGAAAAUCUAGUUGAAUUUCAAAGUAAUGAAGAAUAAUGAAUUUCAGUUUUCAUAGAACGCAUC
rnacentral:misc_RNA from 1 species